ensembl:lncRNA
GUAUGAAGUAAGCUUCAAGAGCUUCACUAUACAUUCACUAUACAUACAUGAAUAUGUGAGGACAGAAAUAACAAUAUGAACAAAAUAACAUAAAUAAAUGUGGAGAAAAGACCGUCAUGGAUAAUUCAUGUGAUGGAGUGAGUGGUGGAACUCAUAUCCGGACUUGUUGCGAUUGUGAAGUUUAUUUCCUUUCACGCACAGGGAUGUUUUAAUAAUGGGCUCUGCGAGAGCCUCGUUGCCUGGCAACCGCCUGCUGUCAACAUGCAGGCUGUGUUACCGUGGGAACAGGAUGACUGGUGGGAAGAGUGGGACACAAAGCUGCGUUCCAGCAAACAGUGAUCAGCUGACAUCUGGGGUCAACAUCAUGAGAUCCAACAGAAGCAGGCGAUUUUUUUCCCUCUUCAGAGCUUUAAGGCAAGAAAGACAGAAAGCUGGGGACAACAGUGCAUGCAGGACACACACAAUCACCCUCCAUGUGCGCUCUUUCCCUCCCUUGCUGCAUCUCUGCAUUUGCCGUUGUGCAUCAUGAAUAAAAGAUAAAUGAUUAUGACUGAGGGAGUUUUGUUUCUCUGUUGACCCCUGUCUAACCUUCUUUUGCUGUUCCACUUUGGACACAGUGAGAGAGUGCAGCUUCUAAAGUGCUGCUGACAUGAAUAUGAUUUUGCUCUUUUUUUUAUUUUAUUAUUAUUAUUGUUGGAAUAUAUUUGUCUGUGUAAAAGUUUAAGACUCUUUUAAAAUAUGAACAAGCUGACACCCCCCCCCCCCAAUAAAACAAUAUUUAUUAUUAAGUUAACA